GUGGGAGAGGCUUAGUGGUUUGGCGUGAGAUUGCAACAUAUCUUUCCUUUGAAAGAAUGGCGCCACAAAAAUCUUGAGGUCGUGGGUUCGAUUCCCACCUUCCACU